rnacentral:rRNA from 1 species
GGGGAAUUUUGGACAAUGGGCGCAAGCCUGAUCCAGCCAUGCCGCGUGAGUGAAGAAGGCCUUCGGGUUGUAAAGCUCUUUCAGACGGAAAGAAAUCUCUCAGGAUAAUACCUCUGGAGGAUGACGGUACCGUAAGAAGAAGCACCGGCUAACUACGUGCCAGCAGCCGCGGUAACACGUAGGGGGCGAGCGUUGUUCGGAAUCAUUGGGCGUAAAGGGCGCGCAGGCGGCGAGGCAAGUCCGGUGUGAAAGUGCUCGGCUCAACCGAGUGAUGCGCUGGAAACUGCCCUGCUUGAGUACAGGAGGGGACGUCGGAAUUCCAGGUGUAGGGGUGAAAUCUGUAGAUAUCUGGAAGAACACCGGUGGCGAAGGCGGACGUCUGGCCAUGUACUGACGCUGAGGCGCGAAGGUGCGGGGAGCGAACA